rnacentral:rRNA from 1 species
GUCUUUUAGAUUAUAAUUUAAAGUCUGGCCUGCCCUAUGAAUAAUUAAAUGGCCGCAGUAUUUUGACUGUGCAAAGGUAGCAUAAUAAUUAGUUUUUUAAUUGAAAGCUGGAAUGAAAGGUUGAACGAAAAAAUAUCUGUCUCAAUUUGAUUUAAUUAGAAAUUUAUUUUUUAGUAAAAAAGCUAAAAUAAUUUUUAAAGACGAGAAGACCCUAUAGAGUUUUAUAUUUAAAAUUAUAUUUAUUAUAGAAUUUUUUUAUAAUUUAAGAUAUUUUAUUGGGGUGAUAAAUAAAUUUAAAUAACUUUAUUAUUUAUAGACAUUAAUAUAUGAAUAAUUGAUCCAUAAAAAUGAUUAAAGAUUAAAUUACCUUAGGGAUAACAGCGUUAUUUUUUUUUAGAGUUCUAAUCGAAAAAAAAGAUUGCGACCUCGAUGUUGGAUUAAAAUUAAUUUAUGGUGUAGAAGCUAUAUUAUUAGGUCUGUUCGACCUUUAAAAUUUUACAUGAUCUGAGUUUAAACCGGUGUGAGCCAGGUUGGUUUCUAUCUUGAAAUAAAUCAAAUAUUUUAGUACGAAAGGACCAAAUAUUUAUAAUAUUUAUUAAAUUUUGAAUUA